rnacentral:rRNA from 1 species
AACGAACGCUGGCGGCAGGCUUAACACAUGCAAGUCGAACGGGUGUAGCAAUACAUCAGUGGCAGACGGGUGAGUAACACGUGGGAACCUUCCUCGUUGUACGGGACAACUCAGGGAAACUUGAGCUAAUACCGUAUACGUCCGAGAGGAGAAAGAUUUAUCGCAAUGAGACGGGCCCGCGUCGGAUUAGCUAGUUGGUGGGUGACGGCCUACCAAGGCGACGAUCCGUAGCUGAUCUGAGAGGAUGAUCAGCCACACUGGGACUGAGACACGGCCCAGACUCCUACGGGAGGCAGCAGUGGGGAAUCUUGGACAAUGGGCGCAAGCCUGAUCCAGCCAUGCCGCGUGAGUGAAGAAGGCCUUUAGGGUUGUAAAGCUCUUUUGCCAGGGACGAUAAUGACGGUACCUGGAGAAUAAGCCCCGGCAAACUUCGUGCCAGCCGCCGCAGUAAU